ensembl:lncRNA
CUAAACAGGAGGACAUGUUUGUAUGAAAACACUCAAAUCAUUCUGAAAACAUGGAGGAGACUUCAUCUUGGAGAGAGAGAUAUCAAAUGAAGUUCAUCUUCCACAAAGCAGAUGACCCCUCUUCUACAGCAAAUUCACCAGAGAAUGCUGCAGUGGCGUCUCCCGGACCUACUCAGAAGGCCUACACAGUGGCGACCCGCCUGUCCAACACCGAGGAGAAGCCCCUGACCAAGCACAACCUGCAGGUCCUGUCCAUGAGCAUCCCUGAGCUCCACCAGCGCAUCACGGGCCGCCCCAGUCCUUUCGCCUUCCACACGGCCUACCUGCAGUGGGACACCCUUCCCAAGGAGCCCCUCGCCCUCCAGCCCUCCACUCCACCCAAAACAUCAAGCCCCAUCCAGCACGCCGCCCUUGCCAAGGCUCUGAGGUGCAGUCUGGGAAAGCCAGCCGGCCCCACGCCUGCCACCCCAGACAAGGAAGACCUGCCUUCCUCUUCCUCGCAGGAGGAUGGGGCUACGGCUCCUGAUUGGCUAAAGUGUGACGGGUCAUUUAUACCAGACAUUAGUAACAAGGAGUGGACGAUGGUGAGCUUCCAGAAUGAGGACUUCAUGCGCUGUAUCUCGCCGGUGGUGUACACUGAUGAUGCGGGGGACAUCGCUGGCAGGUGCAACAUGACCGACUACACCGAGUAUGGGCAGCUGGUAUUGUCCGUUGACAUCGACUUCCUCCAGGAGAGGAGCAAGACGGGAGACAAGGAGCUCACUGGCCCCGCUGUCGUGGCUUCCGGGGAGAAGAUGAAACCUCCGGAGUCGCCGGCCAGCGGGAAGAAAACGGCCAGGCACAAGAAACGGCACAGCACCCCAACACGACGAUCAUCAGGGUCCAGCCACAGCACUCCAACAAGAAGUCCUAUGAGGAUCUAAAGCAACAACAGUCCGAACACCAGUGGUAUUUCUAGUGUUGGUGUGAAGUGAAUUUUAGGGUUAGGUUGUGUUAGGAAAAACGAAUAAGAGGGCACUCUGAAACUCCUGUUUCCAGAUAUUUGUAAAUGACUUCAAAAUGACCAUAAGACAAACGGUGAUAUAUAAAAGUGUUCCUCUUAUAUAAAUACAAUUCAA